GAUGAACGCUGGCGGCGUGCCUAAUACAUGCAAGUCGAGCGAACGGACGAGAAGCUUGCUUCUCUGAUGUUAGCGGCGGACGGGUGAGUAACACGUGGAUAACCUACCUAUAAGACUGGGAUAACUUCGGGAAACCGGAGCUAAUACCGGAUAAUAUUUUGAACCGCAUGGUUCAAAAGUGAAAGACGGUCUUGCUGUCACUUAUAGAUGGAUCCGCGCUGCAUUAGCUAGUUGGUAAGGUAACGGCUUACCAAGGCAACGAUGCAUAGCCGACCUGAGAGGGUGAUCGGCCACCCUGAACCUGAGCCCCGGUCCAGACUCCUACGGGGGGCGGCGGUGGGAAAUCUUCCGCAAUGGGCGAAGGCCUGACGGGGCAACGCCGCGUGGGUGAUGAGGGUCUUCGGUUCGUAAAACUCUGUUAUUAGGGAAGAACAUAUGUGUAAGUAACAGUGCACAUCUUGACGGUACCUAACCAGAAGGCCCCGGCUAACUCCGG
rnacentral:rRNA from 1 species